rnacentral:rRNA from 1 species
GACGAACGCUGGCGGCGUGCUUAACACAUGCAAGUCGAACGGAAAGGCCCUGCUUUUGUGGUGUGCUCGAGUGGCGAACGGGUGAGUAACACGUGAGUAACCUGCCCUUGACUUUGGGAUAACUUCAGGAAACUGGGGCUAAUACCGGAUAGGAGCUCCUGCUGCAUGGUGGGGGUUGGAAAGUUUCGGCGGUUGGGGAUGGACUCGCGGCUUAUCAGCUUGUUGGUGGGGUAGUGGCUUACCAAGGCUUUGACGGGUAGCCGGCCUGAGAGGGUGACCGGCCACAUUGGGACUGAGAUACGGCCCAGACUCCUACGGGAGGCAGCAGUGGGGAAUAUUGCACAAUGGGCGGAAGCCUGAUGCAGCAACGCCGCGUGCGGGAUGACGGCCUUCGGGUUGUAAACCGCUUUCGCCUGUGACGAGGCGUGAGUGACGGUAAUGGGUAAAGAAGCACCGGCUAACUACGUG